GACGAACGCUGGCGGCGUGCCUAACACAUGCAAGUCGAGCGGAGUCGAUCGACGGAAGCCUUCGGGCGGAAGAUGGUUGACUUAGCGGCGGAUGGGUGAGUAACGCGUGGGCAACCUGCCUCGAAGACCGGGAUAACAGCCCGAAAGGGCUGCUAAUACCGGAUGUGGUCAAGGAUCCGCAUGGAUUUUUGAUUAAAGGGGAAACCCGUUUCGAGAUGGGCCCGCGUCCUAUCAGCUAGUUGGUGAGGUAAAAGCUCACCAAGGCGACGAUCUGUAGCUGGUCUGAGAGGACGACCAGCCACACUGGAACUGAGACACGGUCCAGACUCCUACGGGAGGCAGCAGUGGGGAAUUUUGGACAAUGGGCGCAAGCCUGAUCCAGCCAUUCCGCGUGCAGGAUGAAGGCCUUCGGGUUGUAAACUGCUUUUGUACGGAACGAAACGGCGAGCUCUAAUACAGUUUGCUAAUGACGGUACCGUAAGAAUAAGCACCGGCUAACUACGUGCC
rnacentral:rRNA from 1 species